UUCCUUAUGCUGCCCCGUCCAGCCGCCGCCACGACCGGUGCUCCCUGCCCAAUCCCAAGACCAGCCGUCGGCUCCGCUCCGCGGCCAGCCGCCGCCACGCUGGUCGCUUCCAAGCCAGUCUCCCGGUUAGCCGCCGCCACGCCCGACGCUCUGCCGGCCAGCCGCCGUCGCCGCGACCGACGCUCCUCCGCCGGUUGCCGGUGCCACGAACUGACGUACAGUACCAUAUUUUGAUUGAUUUAACACAUGCUCCUGCAAAUCUGAAUCCCCGUUGGAUAGAGUGAAAACAUGCAGGUCUUGAGAUUCCGUCAUAUCUCGUUUAGACUUGCGGUUGGCUAAUUCUUCAGAUUCUCCAUGUUGAAGUCCCCCUGUAAUACAAUUUAUUUAUUCAUCUAUUAACUUCAGAUUGUCUAAGCAUCCGUCAGAUUGGUAAAAGAUGCCAAGUGGACUUUUUGAUUUUCAGGGUCUUGCUUGCUGGCAAGCACAUCAAUUAUUUGCUAAAAUGUCAUGCUAAAAAAGGAUUCCUUCCGCUUGAAUUGUGGUGUCCACAACUAUCCUGCAAAAUUUGGAAUCAACAACAUAUGCAUGGAAAUAUUCACAGUAUAUGCUGAUGUACAUCAAAUUUCUCCUUCGUCCAUGGUGUUGUAAAUCAAGAAAAGAAAUAUUCAUGCAGCCAUAUCAACAGCCAACUGCCCCUUCUCAAAUCAUGUUGUAUUUAUUGACUUCUCACAUUUUAAGUCCAUUUUCUGGAAGUUAACAAUUUUCAUAUUAGUUUUAUGCCUGGAGCAAGUCGAGUCGAUUCUCUAAUCAUAACAUGCAUAUUUCAUGUCUUUCAGGUACUGUGACACUAGCUUUAUGAUGGGGAUAUGAAGUGCGCAUCCAGAAUUGACUAAAUUUCAUAGUCGAAGAAAAAGAGGGCGAUGGUUGGCAAGAAUGAUAAUAGUGCGGACUGAGUUAAGAGGGACUUGAUCAGUAUGAGAAAAACUAUUUCUUGCAUGUUGCUUUGGUAAUAUUUUGUUUGGGCAUAUAGUGAGCCCACUUAAGAAAUCAGAUUAUGUACUAACAAUAUGUGUAUUGUUCUCUUGCUUGCAUGUUCAGUUUCGCUCUAUUGGCUCCAAAUUUGUUUUCCAGAUGAAUACCUUAUUUAAGAUAACGUGUGGCAAUUUUUUGAAGUUAUCAUGGACGAUGUGUAUUGAAUGGUCGGAGAAUAUGUAUGUAGUUAAUGUUUUCCUUCUUGAAAGAAAAUGAAAUUUCGUUAACUAUUUCUUUGCACUUUGUAUACACCAUUUCGUUACAUGCUUCAUGUUUUUAAUUUUUUAAAUGAAUAAA